rnacentral:rRNA from 1 species
GGUUAAGCGACUAAGCGUACACGGUGGAUGCCCUGGCAGUCAGAGGCGAUGAAGGGCGUGCUAAUCUGCGAUAAGCGCCGGUAAGGUGAUAUGAACCGUUAUAACCGGCGAUACCCGAAUGGGGAAACCCAGUGUGACUCGUCACACUAUCAUUAACUGAAUCCAUAGGUUAAUGAGGCGAACCGGGGGAACUGAAACAUCUAAGUACCCCGAGGAAAAGAAAUCAACCGAGAUUCCCCCAGUAGCGGCGAGCGAACGGGGAGGAGCCCAGAGCCUGAAUCAGCAUGUGUGUUAGUGGAAGCGUCUGGAAAGGCGCGCGAUACAGGGUGACAGCCCCGUACACAAAAGCGCAUGUGCUGUGAGCUCGAUGAGUAGGGCGGGACACGUGGUAUCCUGUCUGAAUAUGGGGGGACCAUCCUCCAAGGCUAAAUACUCCUGACUGACCGAUAGUGAACCAGUACCGUGAGGGAAAGGCGAAAAGAACCCCGGCGAGGGGAGUGAAAAAGAACCUGAAACCGUGUACGUACAAGCAGUGGGAGCACCCUUUGGGUGUGACUGCGUACCUUUUGUAUAAUGGGUCAGCGACUUAUAUUCUGUAGCAAGGUUAACCGAAUAGGGGAGCCGGAGGGAAACCGAGUCUUAAUUGGGCGUUAAGUUGCAGGGUAUAGACCCGAAACCCGGUGAUCUAGCCAUGGGCAGGUUGAAGGUUGGGUAACACUAACUGGAGGACCGAACCGACUAAUGUUGAAAAAUUAGCGGAUGACCUGUGGCUGGGGGUGAAAGGCCAAUCAAACCGGGAGAUAGCUGGUUCUCCCCGAAAGCUAUUUAGGUAGCGCCUCGUGAAUUCAUCUCCGGGGGUAGAGCACUGUUUCGGCUAGGGGGCCAUCCCGGCUUACCAACCCGAUGCAAACUGCGAAUACCGGAGAAUGUUAUCACGGGAGACACACGGCGGGUGCUAACGUCCGUCGUGAAGAGGGAAACAACCCAGACCGCCAGCUAAGGUCCCAAAGUCAUGGUUAAGUGGGAAACGAUGUGGGAAGGCCCAGACAGCCAGGAUGUUGGCUUAGAAGCAGCCAUCAUUUAAAGAAAGCGUAAUAGCUCACUGGUCGAGUCGGCCUGCGCGGAAGAUGUAACGGGGCUAAACCAUGCACCGAAGCUGCGGCAGCGACACUGUGUGUUGUUGGGUAGGGGAGCGUUCUGUAAGCCUGCGAAGGUGGCCUGUGAGGGUUGCUGGAGGUAUCAGAAGUGCGAAUGCUGACAUAAGUAACGAUAAAGCGGGUGAAAAGCCCGCUCGCCGGAAGACCAAGGGUUCCUGUCCAACGUUAAUCGGGGCAGGGUGAGUCGACCCCUAAGGCGAGGCCGAAAGGCGUAGUCGAUGGGAAACGGGUUAAUAUUCCCGUACUUGGUGUUACUGCGAAGGGGGGACGGAGAAGGCUAUGUUGGCCGGGCGACGGUUGUCCCGGUUUAAGCGUGUAGGCUGGUUUUCCAGGCAAAUCCGGAAAAUCAAGGCUGAGGCGUGA